UUGCAAACUCGAUCACUGGCUCUGCCUGCUGUGGCAGAAGCAAGGGGAACAGGUUUGCUAUAUUAAAUGUGGCAACAGAAGUGUACUGGCUUUAGCGUUAAUAACACUAAGGCAGUUUAUUCUGUAACAUAACAGCA
ensembl:snoRNA SNORA66 Small nucleolar RNA SNORA66